AUCGGUCAUCUUUUCUCUCUCC
rnacentral:siRNA from 1 species